rnacentral:rRNA from 1 species
GUCUACGGCCAUACCACCCUGAACGUGCCCGAUCUUUUCUGAUCUCGAAAGCUAAGCAGGAUCAGGCCUGGUUAGUACUUGGCUGGGAGACCACCUAGGAAGACCGAUUACUGUCUGCG